CCUACGGGUGGCAGCAGUGAGGAAUAUUGGUCAAUGGCCGGAAGCCUGAACCAGCCAAGCCGCGUGAGGGACGAAGGUCCCAUGCAUUGUAAACCUCUUUUGUCAAGGGACAAAAUCAGGCACGAGUGCCGGACCGAGGGUACCUGAAGAAAAAGCAUCGGCUAACUCCGUGCCAGCAGCCGCGGUAAUACGGAGGAUGCGAGCGUUAUCCGGAUUUAUUGGGUUUAAAGGGUGCGCAGGCGGCCUGUUAAGUCAGCGGUAAAAGCCCGGGGCUCAACCCCGGCAAGCCGUUGAAACUGGCUGGCUUGAGGUGGCGAGAGGUAUGCGGAAUGCGCGGUGUAGCGGUGAAAUGCUUAGAUAUUGCGCAGAACUCCGAUUGCGAAGGCAGCAUACCGGCGCCGAUCUGACGCUGAGGCACGAAAGCGUGGGUAUCGAACAGGAUUAGAUACCCCAGUAGUC
rnacentral:rRNA from 1 species